UAGUCCACACCGUAAACGCUGUCUACUAGCUGUUUGUGAGUUUAACUCGUGAGUAGCGAAGCUAACGCGCUAAGUAGACCGCCUGGGGAGUACGGUCGCAAGAUUAAAACUCAAAUGAAUUGACGGGGGCCCGCACAAGCGGUGGAGCAUGUGGUUUAAUUCGAUGCAACGCGAAGAACCUUACCUACACUUGACAUUCAGCGAACUUACCAGAGAUGGUUUGGUGCCUUCGGGAACGCUGGGACAGGUGCUGCAUGGCUGUCGUCAGCUCGUGUCGUGAGAUGUUGGGUUAAGUCCUGCAACGAGCGCAACCCCUAUUCUUAGUUGCCAGCGGUUCGGCCGGGGACUCUAAGAAGACUGCCAGCGCAAGCUGAGAGGAAGGUGGGGGAUGGACGUCAAAUCAUCACGGGCCCUUACGUCCUGGGGCUACACACGUGCUACAAUGGUA
rnacentral:rRNA from 1 species